UUGGCGGACGGGUGAGAAACACGUGAGUAACCUGCCCUUGACUCUGGGAUAAGCGUUGGAAACGACGUCUAAUACCGGAUACGACCUUCGGAGGCAUCUCCUGGGGGUGGAAAGAAUUUCGGUCAAGGAUGGACUCGCGGCCUAUCAGCUAGUUGGUGAGGUAAUGGCUCACCAAGGCGACGACGGGUAGCCGGCCUGAGAGGGUGACCGGCCACACUGGGACUGAGACACGGCCCAGACUCCUACGGGAGGCAGCAGUGGGGAAUAUUGCACAAUGGGCGCAAGCCUGAUGCAGCAACGCCGCGUGAGGGACGACGGCCUUCGGGUUGUAAACCUCUUUUAGUAGGGAAGAAGCGAAAGUGACGGUACCUGCAGAAAAAGCACCGGCUAACUACGUGCCAGCAGCCGCGGUAAU
rnacentral:rRNA from 1 species